rnacentral:rRNA from 1 species
CGGACGGGUGAGUAACGCGUGAGAAUCUGCCCUCAGGAGGGGGAUAACGGCUGGAAACGGCCGCUAAUACCCCAUAUGCCGAGAGGUGAAAUGAAUUUCGCCUGAGGAUGAGCUCGCGUCUGAUUAGCUAGUUGGUGAGGUAAGGGCUCACCAAGGCUUCGAUCAGUAGCUGGUCUGAGAGGAUGAUCAGCCACACUGGGACUGAGACACGGCCCAGACUCCUACAGGAGGCAGCAGUGGGGAAUUUUCCGCAAUGGGCGAAAGCCUGACGGAGCAACGCCGCGUGAGGGAUGAAGGCCUCUGGGCUGUAAACCUCUUUUAUCAAGGAAGAAGAUCUGACGGUACUUGAUGAAUAAGCCACGGCUAAUUCCGUGCCAGCAGCCGCGGUAAUACGGGAGUGGCAAGCGUUAUCCGGAAUUAUUGGGCGUAAAGCGUCCGCAGGCGGUUUUGAAAGUCUGUUGUUAAAGCGUGGAGCUUAACUCCAUUUGAGCAAUGGAAACUACAAGACUAGAGUGUGGUAGGGGCAGAGGGAAUUCCCGGUGUAGCGGUGAAAUGCGUAGAUAUCGGGAAGAACACCAGUGGCGAAGGCGCUCUGCUGGGCCAUAACUGACGCUCAUGGACGAAAGCCAGGGGAGCGAAAGGGAUUAGAUACCCCUGUAGUC